rnacentral:rRNA from 1 species
CGUAGUCGAUGGGAAACAGGUUAAUAUUCCUGUACUUGGUGUUACUGCGAAGGGGGGACGGAGAAGGCUAUGUUGGCCGGGCGACGGUUGUCCCGGUUUAAGCGUGUAGGCUGGUUUUCCAGGCAAAUCCGGAAAAUCAAGGCUGAGGCGUGAUGACGAGGCACUACGGUGCUGAAGCAACAAAUGCCCUGCUUCCAGGAAAAGCCUCUAAGCAUCAGGUAACAUCAAAUCGUACCCCAAACCGACACAGGUGGUCAGGUAGAGAAUACCAAGGCGCUUGAGAGAACUCGGGUGAAGGAACUAGGCAAAAUGGUGCCGUAACUUCGGGAGAA